GAGUAAUACAUCGGAACGUGCCCAGUAGCGGGGGAUAACCUCUCGAAAGAGAGGCUAAUACCGCAUACGUCCUACGGGAGAAAGAGGGGGAUCGCAAGACCUCUCACUAUUGGAGCGGCCGAUGUCGGAUUAGCUAGUUGGCGGGGUAAUGGCCCACCAAGGCUACGAUCCGUAGCUGGUCUGAGAGGACGACCAGCCACACUGGAACUGAGACACGGUCCAGACUCCUACGGGAGGCAGCAGUGGGGAAUUUUGGACAAUGGGCGAAAGCCUGAUCCAGCCAUGCCGCGUGGGUGAAGAAGGCUUUCGGGUUGUAAAGCCCUUUCGGCUGGGACGAAAAGGUCCGCGCUAACACCGCGGAUCCAUGACGGUACCAGCAGAAGAAGCACCGGCUAACUACGUGCCAGCAGCCGCGGUAAUACGUAGGGUGCAGGCGUUAAUCGGAAUUACUGGGCGUAAAGCGUGCGCAGGCGGUCUCUUAAGACAGGUGUGAAAUCCCCGAGCUUAACUUGGGAACUGCGCUUGUAACUGAGAGGCUAGAGUGUGGCAGAGGGGGGUGGAAUUCCACGUGUAGCAGUGAAAUGCGUAGAGAUGUGGAGGAACACCGAUGGCGAAGGCAGCCCCCUGGGCUAACACUGACGCUCAUGCACGAAAGCGUGGGGAGCAAACAGGAUUAGAUACCCUGGUAGUCCACGCCCUAAACUAUGUCAACUGGUUGUCGGGGAAGCAAUUCCUUGGUAACGAAGCUAACGCGUGAAGUUGACCGCCUGGGGAGUACGGCCGCAAGGUUAAAACUCAAAGGAAUUGACGGGGACCCGCACAAGCGGUGGAUUAUGUGGAUUAAUUCGAUGCAACGCGAAAAACCUUACCUACCCUUGACAUGCCAGGAACCCUCCAGAGAUGGAGGGGUGCCCGAAAGGGAACCUGGACACAGGUGCUGCAUGGCUGUCGUCAGCUCGUGUCGUGAGAUGUUGGGUUAAGUCCCGCAACGAGCGCAACCCUUGCCAUUAGUUGCCACAUUCAGUUGGGCACUCUAAUGGGACUGCCGGUGACAAACCGGAGGAAGGUGGGGAUGACGUCAGUCCUCAUGGCCCUUAUGGGUAGGGCUUCACACGUAAUACAAUGGCCGGUACAGAGGGCAGCCAACCCG
rnacentral:rRNA from 1 species